rnacentral:rRNA from 1 species
GAUCAUGGCUCAGAUUGAACGCUGGCGGCAUGCCUUACACAUGCAAGUCGAACGGCAGCACGGGAGCUUGCUCCUGGUGGCGAGUGGCGAACGGGUGAGUAAUACAUCGGAACGUACCCUGAAUGGGGGAUAACGUAGCGAAAGUUACGCUAAUACCGCAUAUUCUGUGAGCAGGAAAGAGGGGGAUCGCAAGACCUCUUGCUUUAGGAGCGGCCGAUGUCGGAUUAGCUAGUUGGUGAGGUAAAGGCUCACCAAGGCGACGAUCCGUAGCGGGUCUGAGAGGAUGAUCCGCCACACUGGGACUGAGACACGGCCCAGACUCCUACGGGAGGCAGCAGUGGGGAAUUUUGGACAAUGGGCGCAAGCCUGAUCCAGCCAUGCCGCGUGAGUGAAGAAGGCCUUCGGGUUGUAAAGCUCUUUCGGUGGGGAAGAAAUUGCUUCGGUUAAUACCUGGAGUAGAUAACGGUACCCGCAUAAGAAGCACCGGCUAACUACGUG